GUCAUGAUUGACAUGUCUUUAUGCAACGACUACUGCCCUUUGCAUUUGCGGAGCUACUUCCAACAAACGUACAUGAAGCACUUGCAAGCAUUGGAGCAUUUUUCAGGGAUCUGAGCACACGCACUCUUAAAGAAGAAGUUGUGGAAUAGCUUCAUGAGAACAUUCUCAUCUUAUUGUGCAACUUGGAGAAGAUAUUUCCUCUAGGAUUUUUUUAACGUCAUGGAGCAUCUAGCUAUCCACCUCCCAUAUGAGGCAUUGCUUUGUGGACCUGUACAUUACGGAUGGAUGUAUCAGUAUGAGCGAGCCAUGAAAUAUUUGAAGGAAAAAGCAAAGAACCUCGC